GGGAGGGGAGAGGGGGAGGGGGGACCGGCCCCUGGAGGCAGGGCGCAGGGGCUCUGCUUCUUGCUGAGUUUGCUCGCCACAGCUGUGGGAGAAAAAAUGCUGUCACUGCCGUGUUUUACAGAUGAAGAGCCUUGAGGAGGUCACGUUUCUGCCCUGGGGUUACGUGGUAACGGGCUGAAGUUUGGACCCACUCAAGCAGGGGUUCAGUGCCCUGCCCCGUCUCCACCAUGAUGCCCACUUCUGCUUCUUAGUCCAAAGGGAGCCCACAGGGACAGCUGGGCGCCCAGCUCUGACCUCUCCAGGCCACCCAGGGCCCCAGAGGGUUUAUAGCUGCCCCUUCGCGGCAGCAAGGCCAAACGCUCGUGGACUCGAAGAUGUGCCGCCCACCCCGCAGCUCCCGGUGCAGGUGGGGAGCCGGGGAUGGCCUCACGGCUCGUCAGGCCGGUCAGAUGGGAAGCACCUCUCAGAACAGCGUUAGAAUGGCCCUGAGAGGUUGGCCCUUGCACGGGCUGUACCUGUCUGACGGCUCCCUUGGGAUCACCUCUGCGUAGGCUCUGGGACUGGCACUCAGCAGGACAGUGUCCGAGAGGGCCUGGUAAAGCUGUACGUCAGCCAGCGAUGCCCGCUCUCACCGCUUCUGUGCAGCACGGCAUUGGAAGUUCCAGCCAGAGCAGUCAGGCGGGAAAAGAAGGAGAAGGCAUCCGAACGGGAGAGGAAGAAGUAGGGUUACUUCUGUUCACGGAUGACAUGACCUUUAUGCCAAGAACACCAAAGACUUCAUUAAAAAAAAAUGAGAAAAACUCUUAGAACUAAUAAACAGAGCUAGCAAGGCUGCAGGAUAUGAAAUCAACACUCAAAAAUCAGCUGUGUUUCUGUAUGUUAACAACGAACAAUCCGAAAAGGAAAC